rnacentral:tRNA from 1 species
UCCUCGCUCGUCCAACGGCAGGACACCGGGCUCUGGUCCCGGUAAUCGAGGUUCGAAUCCUCGGUGGGGAACGA